rnacentral:rRNA from 1 species
GAUGAACGCUGGCUACGGCUUAACACAUGCAAGUCGAGGGGAAACGACGGGGAAGCUUGCUUCCCCGGGCGUCGACCGGCGCACGGGUGAGUAACGCGUAUCCAACCUGCCUCUGACUGAGGGAUAACCCGUCGAAAGUCGGCCUAAUACCUCAUGGCAUCGUCUGCGGGCAUCCACGACGAUAAAAGAUUUCAUCGGUCAGGGAUGGGGAUGCGUCUGAUUAGCUUGUUGGCGGGGUAACGGCCCACCAAGGCUACGAUCAGUAGGGGUUCUGAGAGGAAGGUCCCCCACGUUGGAACUGAUACACGGUCCAAACUCCUACUGGAGGCAGCAGUGAGGAAUAUUGGUCGAUGGGCGAGAGCCUGAACCAGCCAAGUAUCGUGCAGGAUGACGGGCCUAUGGUGUGUAAACUGCUUUUUAUUCGGGUGUAAAGUGAGGGACGUGUCCUUCAUUGCAGGUACCGCAUUAAUUAAUGACCGGCUAAUUCCUGUGCCAGUGGCCGCGGUAAUACUGAGGGUUCGGGCGUUAUCCUGAUUUUUUUGGUUUAAAUGGAGGUUUUCUGUGGAUUUUGUCGUGUUGUGAAAUUGCGUGGGCUCAACUCUGGCACUUGUGUGCGCGACUGUUCUGUUGUGAGUGUGCUGUGGCUGGGGUGAAUUUGUGCUGUGUAGUGGUGAAAUACUGUAAUGUGACUAUGAACUGCGAUUGCGUAUUGUGCUUGUGUGAGCUGUGCUGUUGUGUGAGGUUUGUGUUGCUGUGUCGAACAGAUUGUAUGUGGUGGGUGUGCAUGUGCUGUGUCUUUGUUGUGUUCGGGUUGUGUGUGCCUGUUGCUUGAAAAAAGAAUAACUAAGAUGAUAGAUGUUUCAUCGAUUGAUAGAGU